UAUAAAUAUAAUGUAUACGUAUGAGCGGUUAUAGUUUUAGUUAAAUAUGGCGUCCUUAAACAGAGAUUUGACAUUUCGCACUGUAG